AACAGGGAUUGCCCUAGUAACGGGAGUGAAGCGGCAACAGCUCAAAUUUGAAAUCUGGCGCAAGCCCGAGUUGUAAUUUGUAGAGGAUGCUUCUGGGUAGCGACCGAUCUAAGUUCCUUGGAACAGGACGUCAUAGAGGGUGAGAAUCCCGUAUGUGACCGGCCCGCACCCUUUACGUAGCUCCUUCGACGAGUCGAGUUGUUUGGGAAUGCAGCUCUAAAUGGGAGGUAAAUUUCUUCUAAAGCUAAAUACCGGCCAGAGACCGAUAGCGCACAAGUAGAGUGAUCGAAAGAUGAAAAGUACUUUGGAAAGAGAGUUAAAAAGCACGUGAAAUUGUUGAAAGGGAAGCGCCUGCAACCAGACUUCGCGGCAGUGUUCCGCCGGUCUUCUGACCGGUUCAUUCUCUGUCGCGAGGCCAUCAUCGCCUGGGCCCGCCGGAUAAGACCUUAGGAAUGUAGCUCACCUUCGGGGGAGUGUUAUAGCCUAGGGUGAUGCGGCGAGGCUCGGGCGAGGUCCGCGCUUCGGCAAGGAUGAUGGCGUAAUGGUUGUCGGCGGCCCGUCUUGAAACACGGACCAAGGAGUCUAACAUCUAUGCGAGUGUUCGGGUGUCAAACCCCUACGCGUAAUGAAAGUGAACGGAGGUGGGAACCGCAGGUGCACCAUCGACCGAUCCUGAUGUCCUCGGGAUGGAUUUGAGUAAAGCAUAGCUGUUGG
rnacentral:rRNA from 1 species